rnacentral:rRNA from 1 species
ACGGGGCGCAGCAGGCGAGAAAACUUUGCAAUGUGCGAAAGCACGACAAGGUUAAUCCGAGUGUUUCCUGCUAAAGGAAUCUUUUGUCAGUCAUAACACCACCGACGAAUAAGGGGUGGGCAAGUUCUGGUGUCAGCCGCCGCGGUAAAACCAGCACCUCAAGUGGUCAGGAGGAUUAUUGGGCCUAAAGCAUCCGUAGCCGGCUUUGUAAGUUUUCGGUUAAAUCCAUAUGCUCAACAUAUGGGCUGCCGGGAAUACUGCACAGCUAGGGAGUGGGAGAGGUAGACGGUACUCCAUAGGAAGGGGUAAAAUCCUUUGAUCUAUGGAAGACCACCAGUGGCGAAGGCGGUCUACCAGAACACGUUCGACGGUGAGGGAUGAAAGCUGGGGGAGCAAACCGGAUUAGAUACCCGGGUAGUCCCAGCUGUAAACUAUGCAAACUCAGUGAUGCAUUGGCUUGUGGCCAGUGCAGUGCCGCAGAGAAGUCGUUAAGUUUGCCGCCUGGGAAGUACGUACGCAAGUAUGAAACUUAAAGGAAUUGGCGGGGGAGCAC